rfam:Zea mays cultivar B73 chromosome 2, whole genome shotgun sequence.
GGCGGCAUGGCCAAGUGCUAAGGCAGGGGACUACAAAUCCUUUACCCCCAGUUCAAAUCUGGGUGCCGCCU